rnacentral:lncRNA from 1 species
AUAACGAUAAUGUACGGGUACAUACUUAUCACUUUGCCAAUACACCCGAACAUGGAACGGUAUGUAUAGCCACAUUAAAGCCUUAACAUAAUACAGGUACUUUCAGAACAACUCCUUUUCAUAAUGAGUGAUGUACACAUAUCAAAAUCAUAUUUCAAAAACACAAAGCGAAAUAGCACUUAUAGUGAAGUAAAACUUUAACAAAUACUUACUUAGCAAAUAUGAAAGACAAAUUAAACACUUACACAUUUUUAUACUGAAAAUACAUAAAAUACUUUAAAACUACGUAGGCUAUGAAUCCAUAUUAUCCACUUACCUUAGGUACUUAGCUGUCAUAAUCUUAAUUCCAACAGAGUUUCGACUUUAUU